rnacentral:rRNA from 1 species
GGCGUGCUUACACAUGCAAGUCGCACGAGAAAGCCCCGAGCUUGCUUGGGGCGAGUAAAGUGGCGCACGGGUGAGUAACGCGUGGAUAAUCUGCCUCCGGGUUCGGGAUAACACUUCGAAAGGGGUGCUAAUACCGGAUGAUAUCAAUUGGACUUUGGUUUGAUUGAUCAAAGAUGGCCUCUGCAUGCAAGCUAUUGCCUGGAGAUGAGUCCGCGUACCUUUAGCUUGUUGGUGGGGUAAAGGCCCACCAAGGCGACGAUGGUUAGCUGGUCUGAGAGGAUGAUCAGCCACACUGGCACUGAUACACGGGCCAGACUCCUACGGGAGGCAGCAGUGAGGAAUUUUGCGCAAUGGGGGAAACCCUGACGCAGCAACGCCGCGUGAGUGAUGAAGGCCUUCGGGUCGUAAAGCUCUGUCAAGUGGGAAGAACCCUUCCCGGGGUAAUAUCCUGGGGAGCUGACGGUACCACUGAAGGAAGCACCGGCUAACUCCGUGCCAGCAGCCGCGGUAAUACGGAGGGUGCAAGCGUUAUUCGGAAUUACUGGGCGUAAAGGGCGCGCAGGCGGCCUUGUAAGUCAGUUGUGAAAGCCCGGGGCUCAACCCCGGAAGUGCGACUGAAACUGCAGGGCUUGAGUAUGGUAGAGGGAAGUGGAAUUCCAGGUGUAGCGGUGAAAUGCGUAGAUAUCUGGAGGAACACCGGUGGCGAAGGCGACUUCCUGGACCAGACUGACGCUGAGCGCGAAGCGUGGGUAGCAAACAGGAUU